rnacentral:snRNA from 1 species
UGAUCACCAAGGCUGUGACAUCUGUCACCCCACUGCCUGCCAGAGCUGACUUGCUGCUCUGGCUGCUGGGUGGUGUCCUCUUCCUCCCUCCCGGUUCCUCAUGCAUCCCUUCUGAAGCUGUGAGCUCAGUGGAAGAGGAGGACCUUCCCUGGUGGAGGAGGACGGCCCUCUGGUCAAGGGGGUACGGGUGCUGUGCUCCCUGCUGACCUCCAGCAAGUCUCAGAAUCCCUUGGUAGGAAGAUGCAGGGGAGUGGGGCUUUGAGACUCCAGACACAUCCAGAGGAGGCACUGCUUGUUGUUGUCUGCCUUGCUUA